GCCGGUAUUACAUACUCACCCAUCCCAUUUUAAGUGCAACUAUAAAUUUUCGUACUUAACUUUGAUCAUCCGUCUUAUUUGAAAUUUUUUUUAUAAUUAGUAUUUUUUAUUGUUAUGAGAUAAUAAAACAUAAAUAUUACUUUACUCGUGACUUAUGUUUUUAAAUUUUUUCAAAAAAUAUUCAAAUAAGAUGGACGAUGAAAGUUGGGCGUAAAAAACUAUAGUUGUACUUGAAAUGGGACGGAGGGAGUAGUGAAAAA
rnacentral:misc_RNA from 1 species